GGGAAUUAGCUCAGCUGGGAGAGCGCCUGGUUCGCAAUCAGGAGGUCAGGGGUUCGAUCCCCCUAUUCUCC
rnacentral:tRNA from 1 species